AGUUUGAUCCUGGCUCAGGAUGAACGCUGGCGGUAUGCUUAACACAUGCAAGUCGAACGGGGUUACCGGAUCGGAGGCUUCGGCCAAAGAGCUGACUAACCUAGUGGCGGACGGGUGAGUAACACGUGAGCAACCAACCUUAUACACAGGAAUAACACUGGGAAACCAGUGCUAAUACCCGAUAUUAUUUAGACAAGGCAUCUUGAUUAAAUGAAAGAUUUAUCGGUAUAAGACGGGCUCGCGUCCGAUUAGCUAGUUGGUAGGGUAAUGGCCUACCAAGGCGACGAUCGGUAGCCGGACUGAGAGGUUGAUCGGCCACAUUGGGACUGAGAACGGCCCACACUCCUACGGGAGGCAGCAGUGGGGAAUAUUGGGCAAUGGAGGCAACUCUGACCCAGCAAUACCGCGUGAAGGAAGAAGGCCUUCGGGUUGUAAACUUCUUUAGACAGGGAAGAAAGAAAUGACAUUACCUGUAGAAUAAGCCACGGCUAACUACGUGCCAGCAGCCGCGGUAAUACGUAGGUGGCGAGCGUUAUCCGGAAUUACUGGGUGUAAAGGGCGCGUAGGCGGGUGUGCAAGUUAGAUGUGAAAACCUGGAGCUCAACUCCAGACUGGCAUCUAAAACUGUACAUCUUGAGUGUCAGAGGGGAAAGUGGAAUUCCUAGUGGAGCGGUAAAAUGCGUAGAGAUUAGGAGGAACAUCGGUGGCGAAGGCGACUUUCUGGCUGACAACUGACGCUGAGGCGCGAAAGCGUGGGGAGCGAACAGGAUUAGAUACCCUGGUAGUCCACGCCGUAAACGCUGUUUACUAGGUGUAGGGGGUAUCGACUCCCUCUGUGCCGCAGUUAACGCAAUAAGUAAUCCACCUGGGGAGUACGGCCGCAAGGUUAAAACUCAAAGAAAUUGACGGGGACCCGCACAAGCAGUGGAUUAUGUGGUUUAAUUCGAGGCAACGCGAAGAACCUUACCAGGGUUUGACAUCCCGCGCUAUAGGCAGAGAUGCUUAGUUCCCUUCGGGGACGCGGAGACAGGUGGUGCAUGGUUGUCGUCAGCUCGUGUCGUGAGAUGUUGGGUUAAGUCCCGCAACGAGCGCAACCCCUGUUGCUAGUUGCCAUCAUUAAGUUGGGCACUCUAGCGAGACUGCCGGUGACAAAUCGGAGGAAGGUGGGGACGACGUCAAAUCAUCAUGCCCCUUAUGUCCUGGGCUACACACGUACUACAAUGGCUAUAACAGCAGGGAGCUAAGGAGUAAUCCGGAGCGAAUCCUCAAAAAUAGUCCCAGUUCGAAUUGUGGGCUGAAACCCGCCCACAUGAAGUCGGAAUUGCUAGUAAUGGCAGGUCAGCAUACUGCCGUGAAUACGUUCCCGGGUCUUGUACUCACCGCCCGUCA
rnacentral:rRNA from 1 species